rnacentral:rRNA from 1 species
UUGACCUCGGAUCAGGCAGGGAUACCCGCUGAACUUAAGCAUAUCAAUAAGCGGAGGAAAAGAAACCAACAGGGAUUGCCUCAGUAACGGCGAGUGAAGCGGCAACAGCUCAAAUUUGAAAUCUGGCUCUUUUAGGGUCCGAGUUGUAAUUUGUAGAGGAUGCUUCGGCGUGGGCUCCGGUCUAAGUUCCUUGGAACAGGACGUCAUAGAGGGUGAGAAUCCCGUAUGUGAUCGGUUGCCUUUGCCAUGUGAAGCUCCUUCGACGAGUCGAGUUGUUUGGGAAUGCAGCUCUAAAUGGGAGGUAAAUUUCUUCUAAAGCUAAAUACUGGCCAGAGACCGAUAGCGCACAAGUAGAGUGAUCGAAAGAUGAAAAGCACUUUGGAAAGAGAGUCAAAAAGUACGUGAAAUUGUUGAAAGGGAAACGCUGA